GAUGAACGCUAGCGGCAGGCUUAACACAUGCAAGUCGAGGGGCAGCACGAGGUAGCAAUACUUUGGUGGCGACCGGCGCACGGGUGCGUAACGCGUAUGCAACCUACCUUUAACAGGGGCAUAACACUGAGAAAUUGGUACUAAUUCCCCAUAAUAUCAUAGAAGGCAUCUUUUAUGGUUGAAAAUUCCGAUGGUUAGAGAUGGGCAUGCGUUGUAUUAGCUAGUUGGUGGGGUAACGGCUCACCAAGGCGACGAUACAUAGGGGGACUGAGAGGUUAACCCCCCACACUGGUACUGAGACACGGACCAGACUCCUACGGGAGCAGCAGUGAGGAAUAUUGGUCAAUGGACGCAAGUCUGAACCAGCCAUGCCGCGUGCAGGAUGACGGCUCUAUGAGUUUGUAAACUGCUUUUUGUACUAGGGUAAACUCACCUACGUGUAGGUGACU
rnacentral:rRNA from 1 species